CAGUCGCCGCGGGAAUACGAAGGGGGCUAGCGUUGUUCGGAUUUACUGGGCGUAAAGCGCACGUAGGCGGAUCGAUCAGUCAGGGGUGAAAGCCCGGGGCUCAACCCCGGAAUAGCCUUUGAGACUGGAUUGCUAGAAUCUGGGAGAGGUGAGUGGAAUUCCGAGUGUAGAGGUGAAAUUCGUAGAUAUUCGGAAGAACACCAGUGGCGAAGGUGGCUCACUGGACCAGUAUUGACGCUGAGGUGCGAAAGCGUGGGGAGCAAACAGGAUUAGAUACCCCCGUAGUCCCUGUCUCUUAUAC
rnacentral:rRNA from 1 species